rnacentral:lncRNA from 1 species
CAUGGUCUCAGACAAAGUGCGGCUUUUUACCAAAAAGUCGAAACUCGCUAAGCAAAGGGUAACCUCAUAAUUGGUGUUGUGGGCAAGGGAAUGAAAUGUAUUAUCAAGCUCACAAGUUUGACCAGCAAUAACACAAAAAAAACCAUUGCACCCCAAUGCCUCGAGUAAUGCAGUUCUCCAAGCUAAGCUGUGUAAUUUUCAAGCAACAGCAGAAAUCCUCUAAAUCCCCACCGACACCAACAUAAAUUCCUGACGACAUUUAGCUACACCCAGUCCUCCAGGCACCUAGCAACAUCAAUUUACUGGGAAACUGAGCAUGCAGUUGCGAGAUUAAGCCCGUUCGGAUUCAAGCGAGUAGGUUCAGCUCAACAACUACGCAUCAAACAGCUCCUAGGGUUGCUCCCGCCCAGCAACAAUCGCGCAUUAUAUAAUCCCGAAGCGAGCCACGAGCACCGGAUCCCUCAAUUGGCAGGCGCAAUCAUGCGAACCGGGAACUACGGAAACAAUUUGAUCGACUUUUUAUGGAUAAACACAUCGGAUCAGAGCAGAAACCUGAGAGGUGGUUUGGCGAAGGGUGCGGACCGACCGGCGAGCGUGCGGGGCGGAUACGCACCGGGAUACACGUCGCGCGAGGAGAGCUGCCGCUGGCAACGGCGACGACGACGGCGGCGGAUUGGCGCCGCGGAAGCAAAGGGGAGCCUGCACCCCUACCUGCGACUGCGAGGCUGGGUCGGGACCGCGCAGAACCCUAGCCGGUUGAUGUGUUGCCGUGCGCCCGGGUCCGCCGUUUUACCCGCAACCAUACCGGGGGUUCUACUAGGGUUCGUACUCGUUGCAGCCUGAACUUUGAUUUGCUACCCAACACGGACACCUCCAGGUUGUCUCUUCAAAUAUUCAUAUUCAAAUUGUAUGUACAUACUUUUUUUUAUAAUAAAA